GGUUAAGCGACUAAGCGUACACGGUGGAUGCCCUGGCAGUCAGAGGCGAUGAAGGACGUGCUAAUCUGCGAUAAGCGCCGGUAAGGUGAUAUGAACCGUUAUAACCGGCGAUUUCCGAAUGGGGAAACCCAGUGUGAUUCGUCACACUAUCAUUAACUGAAUCCAUAGGUUAAUGAGGCGAACCGGGGGAACUGAAACAUCUAAGUACCCCGAGGAAAAGAAAUCAACCGAGAUUCCCCCAGUAGCGGCGAGCGAACGGGGAGGAGCCCAGAGCCUGAAUCAGCAUGUGUGUUAGUGGAAGCGUCUGGAAAGGCGCGCGAUACAGGGUGACAGCCCCGUACACAAAAGCGCAUGUGCUGUGAGCUCGAUGAGUAGGGCGGGACACGUGGUAUCCUGUCUGAAUAUGGGGGGACCAUCCUCCAAGGCUAAAUACUCCUGACUGACCGAUAGUGAACCAGUACCGUGAGGGAAAGGCGAAAAGAACCCCGGCGAGGGGAGUGAAAAAGAACCUGAAACCGUGUACGUACAAGCAGUGGGAGCACAGGUUUACCUGUGUGACUGCGUACCUUUUGUAUAAUGGGUCAGCGACUUAUAUUCUGUAGCAAGGUUAACCGAAUAGGGGAGCCGGAGGGAAACCGAGUCUUAAUUGGGCGUUAAGUUGCAGGGUAUAGACCCGAAACCCGGUGAUCUAGCCAUGGGCAGGUUGAAGGUUGGGUAACACUAACUGGAGGACCGAACCGACUAAUGUUGAAAAAUUAGCGGAUGACCUGUGGCUGGGGGUGAAAGGCCAAUCAAACCGGGAGAUAGCUGGUUCUCCCCGAAAGCUAUUUAGGUAGCGCCUCGUGAAUUCAUCUCCGGGGGUAGAGCACUGUUUCGGCUAGGGGGCCAUCCCGGCUUACCAACCCGAUGCAAACUGCGAAUACCGGAGAAUGUUAUCACGGGAGACACACGGCGGGUGCUAACGUCCGUCGUGAAGAGGGAAACAACCCAGACCGCCAGCUAAGGUCCCAAAGUCAUGGUUAAGUGGGAAACGAUGUGGGAAGGCCCAGACAGCCAGGAUGUUGGCUUAGAAGCAGCCAUCAUUUAAAGAAAGCGUAAUAGCUCACUGGUCGAGUCGGCCUGCGCGGAAGAUGUAACGGGGCUAAACCAUGCACCGAAGCUGCGGCAGCGAACGUAUCACCCAAGACAACUUUACGGAGUUGACGAUUGACGGAGCGAAGCGACGUCAAAGCGUUCAUUAAAGUCGAGUUGGCUUAGGGAUACGUUCGUUGGGUAGGGGAGCGUUCUGUAAGCCUGUGAAGGUGGCCUGUGAGGGUUGCUGGAGGUAUCAGAAGUGCGAAUGCUGACAUAAGUAACGAUAAAGCGGGUGAAAAGCCCGCUCGCCGGAAGACCAAGGGUUCCUGUCCAACGUUAAUCGGGGCAGGGUGAGUCGACCCCUAAGGCGAGGCCGAAAGGCGUAGUCGAUGGGAAACGGGUUAAUAUUCCCGUACUUGGUGUUACUGCGAAGGGGGGACGGAGAAGGCUAUGUUGGCCGGGCGACGGUUGUCCCGGUUUAAGCGUGUAGGUGUGUGUUCCAGGUAAAUCCGGUUCACUUUAACACUGAGGCGUGAUGACGAGGCACUACGGUGCUGAAGCAACAAAUGCCCUGCUUCCAGGAAAAGCCUCUAAGCAUCAGGUAACAUCAAAUCGUACCCCAAACCGACACAGGUGGUCAGGUAGAGAAUACCAAGGCGCUUGAGAGAACUCGGGUGAAGGAACUAGGCAAAAUGGUGCCGUAACUUCGGGAGAAGGCACGCUGACACGUAGGUGAAGUGAUUUACUCACGGAGCUGAAGUCAGUCGAAGAUACCAGCUGGCUGCAACUGUUUAUUAAAAACACAGCACUGUGCAAACACGAAAGUGGACGUAUACGGUGUGACGCCUGCCCGGUGCCGGAAGGUUAAUUGAUGGGGUCAGCGCAAGCGAAGCUCCUGAUCGAAGCCCCGGUAAACGGCGGCCGUAACUAUAACGGUCCUAAGGUAGCGAAAUUCCUUGUCGGGUAAGUUCCGACCUGCACGAAUGGCGUAAUGAUGGCCAGGCUGUCUCCACCCGAGACUCAGUGAAAUUGAACUCGCUGUGAAGAUGCAGUGUACCCGCGGCAAGACGGAAAGACCCCGUGAACCUUUACUAUAGCUUGACACUGAACAUUGAGCCUUGAUGUGUAGGAUAGGUGGGAGGCUUUGAAGUGUGGACGCCAGUCUGCAUGGAGCCGACCUUGAAAUACCACCCUUUAAUGUUUGAUGUUCUAACGUGGACCCGUAAUCCGGGUUGCGGACAGUGUCUGGUGGGUAGUUUGACUGGGGCGGUCUCCUCCUAAAGAGUAACGGAGGAGCACGAAGGUUGGCUAAUCCUGGUCGGACAUCAGGAGGUUAGUGCAAUGGCAUAAGCCAGCUUGACUGCGAGCGUGACGGCGCGAGCAGGUGCGAAAGCAGGUCAUAGUGAUCCGGUGGUUCUGAAUGGAAGGGCCAUCGCUCAACGGAUAAAAGGUACUCCGGGGAUAACAGGCUGAUACCGCCCAAGAGUUCAUAUCGACGGCGGUGUUUGGCACCUCGAUGUCGGCUCAUCACAUCCUGGGGCUGAAGUAGGUCCCAAGGGUAUGGCUGUUCGCCAUUUAAAGUGGUACGCGAGCUGGGUUUAGAACGUCGUGAGACAGUUCGGUCCCUAUCUGCCGUGGGCGCUGGAGAACUGAGGGGGGCUGCUCCUAGUACGAGAGGACCGGAGUGGACGCAUCACUGGUGUUCGGGUUGUCAUGCCAAUGGCACUGCCCGGUAGCUAAAUGCGGAAGAGAUAAGUGCUGAAAGCAUCUAAGCACGAAACUUGCCCCGAGAUGAGUUCUCCCUGAGACUUUAGGUCUCCUGAAGGAACGUUGAAGACGACGACGUUGAUAGGCCGGGUGUGUAAGCGCAGCGAUGCGUUGAGCUAACCGGUACUAAUGAACCGUGAGGCUUAACCUU
rnacentral:rRNA from 1 species